rnacentral:rRNA from 1 species
GACGAACGCUGGCGGCGUGCUUAACACAUGCAAGUCGAACGGAAAGGCCUCUUUCGGGGGGUACUCGAGUGGCGAACGGGUGAGUAACACGUGAGUAACCUGCCCUUGACUUUGGGAUAACUUCAGGAAACUGGGGCUAAUACCGGAUAGGAGCUCCUGCUGCAUGGUGGGGGUUGGAAAGUUUCGGCGGUUGGGGAUGGACUCGCGGCUUAUCAGCUUGUUGGUGGGGUAGUGGCUUACCAAGGCUUUGACGGGUAGCCGGCCUGAGAGGGUGACCGGCCACAUUGGGACUGAGAUACGGCCCAGACUCCUACGGGAGGCAGCAGUGGGGAAUAUUGCACAAGGGGUGGAAGCCUGAUGCAGCAACGCCGGGUGCGGGAUGACGGCCUUCGGGUUGUAAACCGCUUUCGCUCAUGACGAAGCUUUGCGUGACGGUAGUGGGUAAAGAAGCACCGGCUAACUACGUG